GACGAACGCUGGCGGCGUGCUUAACACAUACAAGUCGAACGGAAAGGCCCUGCUUUUGUGGGGUGCUCGAGUGGCGAACGGGUGAGUAACACGUGAGUAACCUGCCCUUGACUUUGGGAUAACUUCAGGAAACUGGGGCUAAUACCGGAUAGGAGCUCCUGCUGCAUGGUGGGGGUUGGAAAGUUUCGGCGGUUGGGGAUGGACUCGCGGCUUAUCAGCUUGUUGGUGGGGUAGUGGCUUACCAAGGCUUUGACGGGUAGCCGGCCUGAGAGGGUGACCGGCCACAUUGGGACUGAGAUACGGCCCAGACUCCUACGGGAGGCAGCAGUGGGGAAUAUUGCACAAUGGGCGGAAGCCUGAUGCAGCAACGCCGCGUGCGGGAUGACGGCCUUCGGGUUGUAAACCGCUUUCGCCUGUGACGAAGCGUGAGUGGCGGUAAUGGGUAAAGAAGCACCGGCUAACUACGUG
rnacentral:rRNA from 1 species